rnacentral:lncRNA from 1 species
AGCGCGCCAGCGCUCAUCAGACAUAGCACUAGACAAAGUCUGAGGUUCAGUAACAGCUGGAGAGGUGACAACAGACAUACCAAACUUCUUGUUAAGCGUAAAGAUGUUAUUUUUGCUGCGAGUUUGCAUGUGAUGACCACCCUGAGAGGAUGAAGGUGGCGGCACAGUGGGUGUAGCGGCGGCGAGGGCCGCUGGCGGUGCCGUAAGAGGCGCUGGUGGCUCGGGCUAUGGCGCCGGCAGUGCGUCUAGUGAAGGAUCGCUAGUGGGAGCGGCGGCAGGUACUGGCGAAGGCAGCGGAAGGACUUCUGGGGUGACCGGAAUGGGUACGGGUGGAGACUCGGGGUUAGACAAUUUGGAGAACGGGAAGAUAUCUUCAUGGAAGGUGACAUGACGCGAGACGAAGAUUUUNN